rnacentral:rRNA from 1 species
AUUGACCUCGGAUCAGGUAGGGAUACCCGCUGAACUUAAGCAUAUCAAUAAGCGGAGGAAAAGAAACCAACAGGGAUUGCCUCAGUAACGGCGAGUGAAGCGGCAACAGCUCAAAUUUGAAAUCUGGCCCCUUUCGGGGUCCGAGUUGUAAUUUGUAGAGAGUGCUUCGGGCGAGACAACGGUCUAAGUUCAUUGGAACAUGGCGUCAUAGAGGGUGAGAAUCCCGUAUGCGACCGUGGCUCGAGCCCAUGUGAAGCCUCUUCGACGAGUCGAGUUGUUUGGGAAUGCAGCUCAAAAUGGGUGGUAAAUUUCAUCUAAAGCUAAAUACUGGCUGGAGACCGAUAGCGCACAAGUAGAGUGAUCGAAAGAUGAAAAGCACUUUGGAAAGAGAGUCAAACAGUACGUGAAAUUGUUGAAA